GUUCUUGUGGUGAAAAGGUAGCCCGUCUGACUCCAGAUCAGAAGGCUGUGUGUUCAAAUCACGACAGGGUCA
rnacentral:tRNA from 1 species